rnacentral:rRNA from 1 species
AGUGAACGCUGGCGGUAGGCCUAACACAUGCAAGUCGAACGGCAGCACAGUAAGAGCUUGCUCUUACGGGUGGCGAGUGGCGGACGGGUGAGGAAUACAUCGGAAUCUACUUUUUCGUGGGGGAUAACGUAGGGAAACUUACGCUAAUACCGCAUACGACCUACGGGUGAAAGCAGGGGAUCUUCGGACCUUGCGCGAUUGAAUGAGCCGAUGUCGGAUUAGCUAGUUGGCGGGGUAAAGGCCCACCAAGGCGACGAUCCGUAGCUGGUCUGAGAGGAUGAUGAGCGACACUGGAACUGAGACACGGUCCAGACUCCUACGGGAGGCAGAAGUGGGGAAUAUUGGACAAUGGGCGCAAGCCUGAUCCAGCCAUACCGCGUGGGUGAAGAAGGCCUUCGGGUUGUAAAGCCCUUUUGUUGGGAAAGAAAAGCAGCAGGUUAAUACCCCGCUGUUCUGACGGUACCCAAAGAAUAAGCACCGGCUAACUUCGUG